rnacentral:tRNA from 1 species
GCUCAGAUGGUGGAACUGGUAGACACGCAGGACUUAAAAUCCUGUGACCUUAAAAGUCGUGCGGGUUCGAUUCCGCUCUAGUA